rnacentral:rRNA from 1 species
GGUUAAGCGACUAAGCGUACACGGUGGAUGCCCUGGCAGUCAGAGGCGAUGAAGGACGUGCUAAUCUGCGAUAAGCGUCGGUGAGGUGAUAUGAACCGUUAUAACCGGCGAUUUCCGAAUGGGGAAACCCAGUGUGUUUCGACACACUAUCAUUAACUGAAUCCAUAGGUUAAUGAGGCGAACCGGGGGAACUGAAACAUCUAAGUACCCCGAGGAAAAGAAAUCAACCGAGAUUCCCCCAGUAGCGGCGAGCGAACGGGGAGGAGCCCAGAGCCUGAAUCAGUGUGUGUGUUAGUGGAAGCGUCUGGAAAGGCGUGCGAUACAGGGUGACAGCCCCGUACACAAAAAUGCACAUACUGUGAGCUCGAUGAGUAGGGCGGGACACGUGGUAUCCUGUCUGAAUAUGGGGGGACCAUCCUCCAAGGCUAAAUACUCCUGACUGACCGAUAGUGAACCAGUACCGUGAGGGAAAGGCGAAAAGAACCCCGGCGAGGGGAGUGAAAAAGAACCUGAAACCGUGUACGUACAAGCAGUGGGAGCCUCUUAAUGGGGUGACUGCGUACCUUUUGUAUAAUGGGUCAGCGACUUAUAUUCUGUAGCAAGGUUAACCGAAUAGGGGAGCCGAAGGGAAACCGAGUCUUAACUGGGCGUUAAGUUGCAGGGUAUAGACCCGAAACCCGGUGAUCUAGCCAUGGGCAGGUUGAAGGUUGGGUAACACUAACUGGAGGACCGAACCGACUAAUGUUGAAAAAUUAGCGGAUGACUUGUGGCUGGGGGUGAAAGGCCAAUCAAACCGGGAGAUAGCUGGUUCUCCCCGAAAGCUAUUUAGGUAGCGCCUCGUGAAUUCAUCUCCGGGGGUAGAGCACUGUUUCGGCAAGGGGGUCAUCCCGACUUACCAACCCGAUGCAAACUGCGAAUACCGGAGAAUGUUAUCACGGGAGACACACGGCGGGUGCUAACGUCCGUCGUGAAGAGGGAAACAACCCAGACCGCCAGCUAAGGUCCCAAAGUCAUGGUUAAGUGGGAAACGAUGUGGGAAGGCCCAGACAGCCAGGAUGUUGGCUUAGAAGCAGCCAUCAUUUAAAGAAAGCGUAAUAGCUCACUGGUCGAGUCGGCCUGCGCGGAAGAUGUAACGGGGCUAAACCAUGCACCGAAGCUGCGGCAGCGACACUAUGUGUUGUUGGGUAGGGGAGCGUUCUGUAAGCCUGUGAAGGUGUACUGUGAGGUAUGCUGGAGGUAUCAGAAGUGCGAAUGCUGACAUAAGUAACGAUAAAGCGGGUGAAAAGCCCGCUCGCCGGAAGACCAAGGGUUCCUGUCCAACGUUAAUCGGGGCAGGGUGAGUCGACCCCUAAGGCGAGGCCGAAAGGCGUAGUCGAUGGGAAACAGGUUAAUAUUCCUGUACUUGGUGUUACUGCGAAGGGGGGACGGAGAAGGCUAUGUUGGCCGGGCGACGGUUGUCCCGGUUUAAGCGUGUAGGCUGGUUUUCCAGGCAAAUCCGGAAAACCAAGGCUGAG